rnacentral:lncRNA from 1 species
CUUUGGCACCAGCAGUUGAUUCAUGGGUCCUAUGUCAGACACAGAUUUGAAUUUCCUUGUUUAUCCUACGGUUGAAUCAUGAUUGUCUUGUUGCUCCCUCCCAUGAGAGCCAGUCAGGUAUUUCAAGCUUAUAUUAUAUUUGCUGGACCAGGGCUCAUUCUGUUCAGCUUGAAAUUAGCAUUGCUCGCGCAGCUUCUGUACGUCUCAGCCUCAUAGUCCUGAUCAGACCUUCAGGAUACAGCAGGGAGCCUGAAAGCUCCUCUUCACAGCUUUCAGAGGCUUUUAGUAUUAAAAGCCAAAGAACAAAAGAGUUUCUUCAGGCAAGAGUGAAAUCUCUUGAAGAAACCUCCCAGGGUUUGUUGCAGGAAGCUGUAUUUAAUACUGUGAUUACUGAUGUGCAACGGUGGGUCAACAGCAGAACAAGACUCAGCGUACAUUGUAUAUGGCACAGAGGGCUUGCUGCCAUACACAAUCACGAAUCACGCAGCAUAUCUGACAUCAGGGACUGCUACUGGCAACAACCUCACAGCAGACUUUUAGAGAUGUGGAUAUAUCCUGUUAUCAACUAAGCCCAAAGCUGGUUGGGUUUAUCCUCUUUGGUGCCUGCUAUGAAGGUGCUGAGCCCUUGUCCUGCCACAGGAGGUGACACGCUGAUUGACUGUCUUUAGAAGGUCUGAGAACUACGGUGAAGACAAGGCAGAUGAUCACUGUAAUGACAUACAACAGAAAGAGUAGGCUUUUUCUCCAGUUGGAACAGCAGUUGAAAGAGCAGAUUGUAAGAUAAAAUAAGACAAGGACUGGGGUCCAACAGACCUCAGCAUGGUAGUCUGCUCCCAGCUGUAGGCUGUAUAAACAUGAUAUAACAAGUUCCCUACCAGCUCAUCGUGCACCCAGGCUUGAUACGGGCAUGAGUGAGCAGUCUGCAUGCAGACACCUUCUGGAGCCUUUCUGGCUUUGGGCACAAAGCAUGACCAUGGACAGAGUGAUGUACUGAGGGCAUUCUAGUUCCCAAAACAGGAUUUGGGAGCUAGACAAAGAUUAUUCAUUGCUGGUUAUGGAUUUCAAGUCUGAGAACAUUAACUAAGUGGUACAGAUUUUCCCAGGAGUGCAGAAAUUCCAGAGUCUGAUCUGAAUCCCAAAUCGGAUACAUUUACUCUCACACUGAGGAAACUUCAAACUAAAUACAGAGGAAAGAUAAUAUCAGCAAUAUCAGUUGCAUGAAUAUCUACCAGACCUCUACAGGAAGGAUUCAUGGUCUCCGAAAGAUCCCACAACAUUAUUACUCUCAGUAUAAAACUGGUCAGCUCUGAGCUAGACAAGUUGUCAACUGAGUUUGUAGUCACACUUCUCCCAGCCAUGACCAUGAGCUCCAACCAGCAACAUCUGAUUUGGUACAAAAGGAAACAAGAAUGGAUUAUAGUUCUGACCCAAGGAAAAGACAAGCUGAUACACGAAUGCAAAUCAAAUCCCAAAGCUCAACACACAAACAGAUAGAGGAGCAAGCAGACACAGAUGUCUUUUAGUGAAAAUAGCUGUAGCAGCAACAGUUGAAGGAAAUCCAUUUCAAAAGCUAAAACUGCUGCCUGAAAAGGGGUUCCAGCCACUAACCUGGGAGUCUUAUCUGAGGAAAGGAAUGGAAAACCCUUUGCCACUGGAGGCUUAGCCUCUACACUGUCUUGUUUGGCAGAGCCUGGAUAGGGAUGCAGACAGUUUCUGCCAUCAGAGGAGUCUCUGACUCCCAGCUGUGUCUGGCUGCUUGGUUCAGGUUGUAAAUUCUGUCAUGAAACACAGCUGACCUUUAAUGAACAUGUCUUCUCCAUAUGCAUAGGGUCAAUCACAGUGAACACGAACACCCUUCCUGGGUCUGGUUGGUCUCCAGCUAUUACAGUAGUAAACGUGAUGAACUGCAGCCAUAAAAAGCAAUUUCAUUCUGACUGGUAACCUCACAAAAGGAAAGAAAGUUAAAUAAACCAAAGCAUGGGCUGCA